rnacentral:tRNA from 1 species
GCGCUUGUAGCUCAAUUGGAUAGAGCGCCUGACUUCGGAUCAGGAGGUUUAAGGUUCAAGUCCUUACAGGCGCACCA